AGGAGUCUAACAUGUAAGCGAGUAUUUGGGUGGCAAACCCGAAUGAGUUGCGAAAUCGAAGUGUACAAGAGUUGCAAGACUUGCAGUACCGGUGUGUGUCGAAAUCAUUAUCCUCACACAGCCAGAGCUUAUAUGCUGGGACCCGAAAGAUGGUGAACUAUGCCUGAGAAGGGCGAAGCCAGAGGAAACUCUGGUGGAGGCUCGUAGCGGUACUGACGUGCAAAUCGAUGGUCAAAUUUGGGUAUAGGGGCGAAAGACUAAUCGAACCAUCUAGUAGCCGGUUCCCUC
rnacentral:misc_RNA from 1 species